rnacentral:rRNA from 1 species
UAUACAUGCAGUCGAACGAACUUCCGUUAAUUGAUUAUGACGUACUUGUACUGAUUGAGAUUUUAACACGAAGUGAGUGGCGAACGGGUGAGUAACACGUGGGUAACCUGCCCAGAAGUAGGGGAUAACACCUGGAAACAGAUGCUAAUACCGUAUAACAGAGAAAACCGCAUGGUUUUCUUUUAAAAGAUGGCUCUGCUAUCACUUUUGGAUGGACCCGCGGCGUAUUAGCUAGUUGGUGAGGUAAAGGCUCACCAAGGCAGUGAUACGUAGCCGACCUGAGAGGGUAAUCGGCCACAUUGGGACUGAGACACGGCCCAGACUCCUACGGGAGGCAGCAGUAGGGAAUCUUCCACAAUGGACGCAAGUCUGAUGGAGCAACGCCGCGUGAGUGAAGAAGGGUUUCGGCUCGUAAAGCUCUGUUGUUAAAGAAGAACGUGGGUAAGAGUAACUGUUUACCCAGUGACGGUAUUUAACCAGAAAGCCACGGCUAACUACGUGCCAGCAGCCGCGGUAAUACGUAGGUGGCAAGCGUUAUCCGGAUUUAUUGGGCGUAAAGCGAGCGCAGGCGGUCUUUUAAGUCUAAUGUGAAAGCCUUCGGCUCAACCGAAGAAGUGCAUUGGAAACUGGGAGACUUGAGUGCAGAAGAGGACAGUGGAACUCCAUGUGUAGCGGUGAAAUGCGUAGAUAUAUGGAAGAACACCAGUGGCGAAGGCGGCUGUCUGGUCUGCAACUGACGCUGAGGCUCGAAAGCAUGGGUAGCGAACAGGAUUAGAUACCCUGGUAGUCCAUGCCGUAAACGAUGAUUACUAAGUGUUGGAGGGUUUCCGCCCUUCAGUGCUGCAGCUAACGCAUUAAGUAAUCCGCCUGGGGAGUACGACCGCAAGGUUGAAACUCAAAAGAAUUU